rnacentral:misc_RNA from 1 species
GUGAAUCAUCAAAUCUUUGAACGCAAAUUGCACUCUCUUCGUAGAGUAUGGCGGUUGGAGGGUCAGGAUUAAUAAAAAUCGGUGUGUUGCUUCUUUGUUACGCUCCGGAGUUGGGGUCGUCUUAUUUUCCUUUAGUUGUUGAUAUGCUUAAAAUUGGCUUUUUUUGCGCAUUUUUGAGGUACAUAAAUUCUUUUUUUUAUUCGUUUGUCUUAAUGCUCAAAUUCCUAUUAGAUGCGACGAUAUCGUUUGGUUUCGUGUCUAUAAAUUUUUCAUGAUUUGACCUCAAAUCAGUUAGGAGUA